CAAUAGCGUAUAUUUAUGUUGUUGUAGUUAAAACGCUCGUAGUUUAAAUUAGUGAAUUUUAUAAAAAUGAAAUUAAAAUUGUUAAUUCAGUUUUGAUUUCAUCUUAACAAACUUUUAAAAUGGAACAUUUUAUGUUUUAUUUUAAAUUAUUUACCAUAAGUAAAAUAGAGUGUUUAAAGCAGCACAUUUUAAGUGCAUUGAAUAAUUUAGUAUGGGAUAAUAGAAUAUGAAAGUCAAAUCAUAGGAAACUAUGAUUAUUUAAAAAUGACUUUAAUGAUUAAUAGGGACAGUCGUGGCAAUCAGUAUUUCUACACGAGCGGUGAAAUGUUUAGACUGUGGAAAGACUAACUAAUGCGAAAGCAUUUUGCAAGGAUGUUUUCAUUAA
rnacentral:rRNA from 1 species